rnacentral:rRNA from 1 species
AACGAACGCUGGCGGCAUGCCUAACACAUGCAAGUCGAACGAGACCUUCGGGUCUAGUGGCGCACGGGUGCGUAACGCGUGGGAACCUGCCCUUAGGUUCGGAAUAACUCCCCGACAGGGGUGCUAAUACCGGAUAAUGCCUUCGGACCAAAGAUUUAUCGCCUUUGGAUGGGCCCGCGUUGGAUUAGCUAGUUGGUAGGGUAAAAGCCUACCAAGGCGACGAUCCAUAGCUGGUCAGAGAGGAUGAUCAGCCACACUGGGACUGAGACACGGCCCAGACUCCUACGGGAGGCAGCAGUGGGGAAUAGUGGACAAUGGGCGAAAGCCUGAUCCAGCAAUGCCGCGUGAGUGAUGAAGGCCUUAGGGUUGUAAAGCUCUUUUACCCGGGAUGAUAAUGACAGUACCGGGAGAAUAAGCUCCGGCUAACUCCGUG